AUGGAGCUGUGCAGGACCCAUCACCAGGCGGACGUUUCCAGAUGUUUUUUCACCCUUUCUUCCUCCAGAGCUACUGAGGCAGCUCAGCCCGCCCAGCAAUACCAGGGCUGGGCUGGAGCAGACACUGAGGCCAACUGCAGUCCAUUGAAUGCAACUGGGAUGGAUCCACCAAUGGAAGAGUUCCUGCAGCACCGAUGGACACCCAUCGUGCCCACCAUCACAAAAAGCUAUGAGACAGAGCUUCUCCAGGAGCACUGGCAAAACCUUACACUGAGGACUAGUUCUAAUUUGUGGAGGAUGUGGAAGAGAAGGUAAGGAUGUCCAAGCAUGUCCUUUUUUUUUUUUAACCAACGUCACCAUAGAAUCAUGGAAUCACAGAGCCAUAGUCUCACCUACGUCAGCCCGUUUCUCCAAUAUGAGCAGUCUAUUCUAUAUGGGAAGCUGCUGGAGUCACCAGUGCACAGGAGGAAGCAGCAGCCCUCAUACAAAGCUGCUGUUGGGGUUUGGGUUUUGUGUUUUGGGCAGCUCUGCCAGCUGUUCUCUUUGUCAUUGGAAAUAAAGGUAAAUAAUCCAAGGCGCA
rnacentral:lncRNA from 1 species